rnacentral:rRNA from 1 species
GAGGCUGAUGUGUAGGCAAAUCCGCACAUCAAUAAGGCUGGGCUGUGAUGGGGAGCGAAAAUUGCAGUAGCGAAGGUCAUGAGUUCAGGCUGCCAAGAAAAGCCUCUAGCCAGGUGAAGGUGCCCGUACCGCAAACCGACACAGGUAGGCGAGCAGAGUAUGCUAAGGCGCUCGGAAGAACUCUCGUUAAGGAACUCGGCAAAAUGACCCCGUAACUUCGGGAGAAGGGGUGCCUCGGUAGGGUGAAUAGCCCGAGGGGGCCGCAGUGAAAAGGCCCAAGCGACUGUUUAGCAAAAACACAGGUCUGUGCGAAGCCGUAAGGCGAAGUAUACGGGCUGACGCCUGCCCGGUGCUGGAAGGUUAAGGGGAGUGGUUAGCCGCAAGGCGAAGCUAUGAACCGAAGCCCCAGUAAACGGCGGCCGUAACCAUAACGGUCCUAAGGUAGCGAAAUUCCUUGUCAGGUAAAUUCUGACCCGCACGAAUGGCGUAACGACUUGGGCGCUGUCUCAACGAGAGAUCCGGUGAAAUUUUAAUACCUGUGAAGAUGCAGGUUACCCGCGACAAGACGGAAAGACCCCAUGGAGCUUUACUGCAGCUUGAUAUUGGACUUUGGUACGAUCUGUACAGGAUAGGUGGGAGCCUUGGAAGCCGGAGCGCCAGCUUCGGUGGAGGCAUCGUUGGGAUACCACCCUGAUCGUAUCGGAGUUCUAACCUGGUACCGUGAUCCGGUACAGGGACCGUGUCAGGUGGGCAGUUUGACUGGGGCGGUCGCCUCCUAAAAUGUAACGGAGGCGCCCAAAGGUUCCCUCAGAAUGGUUGGAAAUCAUUCGUAGCGUGCAAAGGCAUAAGGGAGCUUGACUGCGAGACCUACAAGUCGAGCAGGGACGAAAGUCGGGCUUAGUGAUCCGGUGGUACCGCAUGGAAGGGCCAUCGCUCAACGGAUAAAAGCUACCCUGGGGAUAACAGGCUUAUCUCCCCCAAGAGUCCACAUCGACGGGGAGGUUUGGCACCUCGAUGUCGGCUCAUCGCAUCCUGGGGCUGAAGUAGGUCCCAAGGGUUGGGCUGUUCGCCCAUUAAAGCGGUACGCGAGCUGGGUUCAGAACGUCGUGAGACAGUUCGGUCCCUAUCUGUCGUGGGCGUAGGAAAUUUGAGAGGAGCUGUCCUUAGUACGAGAGGACCGGGAUGGACGCACCGCUGGUGUACCAGUUGUUCCGCCAGGAGCAUAGCUGGGUAGCUACGUGCGGACGGGAUAAGCGCUGAAAGCAUCUAAGCGUGAAGCCCCCCUCAAGAUGAGAUUUCCCAGUAUGUAAGACCCCUGGAAGACGACCAGGUUGAUAGGUUCGAGGUGGAAGCGCAGCAAUGCGCGGAGCUGACGAAUACUAAUCGGUCGAGGGCUUAUUCG